CGGGUCGUAGCUCAAUCGGUGGAGCACGGCAAAAGCGUUGCCGAGGAGCUGGUUCGAAUCCAGCCGACCCGACCA
rnacentral:tRNA from 1 species